UGAGGAACAUGACCUUCGGCUGGGGAUAGCCGGCCCAACGGCCGGGUAAUACCGCGUACGACCACAUGGGGACAUCCCUGAGUGGUGAAAGCAGCAAUGCGCCGAUGGAGUGCCUCGCGGCCUAUCAGCUAGUUGGUGAGGUAACGGCUCACCAAGGCAACAACGGGUAGCUGGUCUGAGAGGAUGGCCAGCCACAUUGGGACUGAGACACGGCCCAGAUCCUACGGG
rnacentral:rRNA from 1 species